rnacentral:rRNA from 1 species
UACGAAGGGUGCAAGCGUUACUCGGAAUUACUGGGCGUAAAGCGUGCGUAGGUGGUUCGUUAAGUCUGAUGUGAAAGCCCUGGGCUCAACCUGGGAAUGGCAUUGGAUACUGGCGGACUGGAGUGCGGUAGAGGAUGGCGGAAUUCCCGGUGUAGCAGUGAAAUGCGUAGAGAUGUGGAGGAACACCGAUGGCGAAGGCAGCCUCCUGGGCCAGCACUGACGCUCAUGCACGAAAGCGUGGGGAGCAAACAGG